CUCUGCCUCAGGUAACACUCUGCCAACGACUCACACACCUGAACCUCAGCCAGGUGGUCCCCUGCACACAGACAGGUACAGACAGACAGGUACACACAGACAGGUGCACACAGACAGGUACACACAGACAGGUGCACACAGACAGGUACAGACAGGUUCACACAGACAG